CCUACGGAGGCUGCAGUGAGGAAUACUGGUCAAUGGGCGGAAGCCUGAACCAGCCAAGUCGCGUGAGGGAAUAAGGCCCUACGGGUCGUAAACCUCUUUUGCCGGGGAGCAAGGGCGGGGACGUGUCCCGGCCCGGAGAGUACCCGGAGAAAAAGCAUCGGCUAACUCCGUGCCAGCAGCCGCGGUAAUACGGAGGAUGCGAGCGUUAUCCGGAUUUAUUGGGUUUAAAGGGUGCGUAGGUUGUUUUUUAAGUCAGCGGUGAAAGUUUGUGGCUCAACCAUAAAAUUGCCGUUGAAACUGGAAGACUUGAGUGUGUUUGAGGUAGGCGGAAUGCGUGGGGGAGCGGUGAAAUGCAUAGAUAUCACGCAGAACUCCGAUUGCGAAGGCAGCUUACUAAGCCAUAACUGACACUGAAGCACGAAAGCGUGGGGAUCAAACAGGAUGAGAUACCCUAGUAGUC
rnacentral:rRNA from 1 species